AUUGAACGCUAGCGGGAUGCUUUACACAUGCAAGUCGAACGAGUGGCGGACGGGUGAGUAAUAUAGCGGAACGUGCCCAGUCGCGGGGGCUAACUACUCGAAAGAGUGGCUAAUACCGCAUACGACUGGAUCGGCCGAUAUCGGAUUAGCUAGUGGGGGGGGUAAAGGCUGACAAAGGCAACGAUCCGUAGCUGGUGUGAGAGGACGACCGGCCACACUGGGACUGAGACACGGCCCAGACUCCUACGGGAGGCAGCAGUGGGGAAUUUUGGACAAUGGGGGAAACCCUGAUCCAGCAAUCCCGCGUGUAUGAGAAGGCCUUCGGGUUGUAAAGUACUUUUGGCAGAGAAGCGGUAUCUGCAGAAUAAGCACCGGCUAACUACGUGCCAGCCGCCGCGGUAAUUC
rnacentral:rRNA from 1 species